CUAAGACUGGAUAGGAGACAAGAAGGCAUCUUCUUGUUUUUAAAAGACCUAGCAAUAGGUAUGCUUAGGUAGGAGCUUGCGUCACAUUAGUUAGUUGGUGGGGUAAAGGCCUACCAAGACUAUGAUGUGUAGCCGGGCUGAGAGGUUGAACGGCCACAUUGGGACUGAGACACGGCCCAAACUCCUACGGGAGGCAGCAGUAGGGAAUUUUCGGCAAUGGAGGAAACUCUGACCGAGCAACGCCGCGUGAACGAUGAAGUAUUUCGGUACGUAAAGUUCUUUUAUUAGGGAAGAAUAAAUGAUGGAAAAAUCAUUCUGACGGUACCGAAUGAAUAAGCCCCGGCUAACUAUGUGCCAGCAGCCGCGGUAAUACAUAGGGGGCAAGCGUUAUCCGGAAUUAUUGGGCGUAAAGGGUGCGUAGGCGGUUAAAUAAGUUUGUGGUCUAAGUGCAAUGCUCAACAUUGUGAUGCUAUAAAAACUGUUUAGCUAGAGUAAGAUAGAGGCAAGUGGAAUUCCAUGUGUAGUGGUAAAAUGCGUAAAUAUAUGGAGGAACACCAGUAGCGAAGGCGGCUUGCUGGGUCUUUACUGACGCUGAGGCACGAAAGCGUGGGGAGCAAACAGGAUUAGAUACCCUGGUAGUCCACGCCGUAAACGAUGAGUACUAAACGUUGGGUAAAACCAGUGUUGAAGUUAACACAUUAAGUACUCCGCCUGAGUAGUACGUACGCAAGUAUGAAACUUAAAGGAAUUGACGGGACUCCGCACAAGCGGUGGAUCAUGUUGUUUAAUUCGAAGGUACCCGAAAAACCUCACCAGGUCUUGACAUGCUUCUGCAAAGCUGUAGAAACACAGUGGAGGUUAUCAGUUGCACAGGUGGUGCAUGGUUGUCGUCAGCUCGUGUCGUGAGAUGUUGGGUUAAGUCCCGCAACGAGCGCAACCCUUAUUGUUAGUUACCAGCACGUAAUGGUGGGGACUUUAGCAAGACUGCCAGUGAUAAAUUGGAGGAAGGUGGGGACGACGUCAAAUCAUCAUGCCCCUUAUGACCUGGGCUACAAACGUGAUACAAUGGCUGUUACAAAGGGUAGCUGAAGCGCAAGUUUUUGGCGAAUCUCAAAAAAACAGUCUCAGUUCGGAUUGAAGUCUGCAACUCGACUUCAUGAAGUUGGAAUCGCUAGUAAUCGCGAAUCAGCAUGUCGCGGUGAAUACGUUCUCGGGGUUUGUACACACCGCCCGUCA
rnacentral:rRNA from 1 species